GGAGUGGUGGCCGAGCGGCUGAAGGCGGCGGUUUGCUAAACCGUUGUACGGUUGAAAAGCCGUACCGGGGGUUCGAAUCCCCCCCACUCCGCCA
rnacentral:tRNA from 1 species